GCGCCCAUAGCUCAGCGGAUAGAGCGACGGUCUUCGGAACCGUAUGUCGGGGGUUCGAAUCCCUCUGGGCGCGCCA
rnacentral:tRNA from 1 species